rnacentral:rRNA from 1 species
CCGUAAACGAUGUGUGUUAGACGUUGGAAAUUUAUUUUCAGUGUCGCAGGGAAACCGAUAAACACACCGCCUGGGGAGUACGACCGCAAGGUUAAAACUCAAAUGAAUUGACGGGGACCCGCACAAGUAGUGGAGCAUGUGGUUUAAUUCGAAGAUACGCGCAGAACCUUACCAACACUUGACAUGUUCGUCGCGACUCUGAGAGAUUAGAGUUUUCGGUUCGGCCGGACGAAACACAGGUGCUGCAUGGCUGUCGUCAGCUCGCGUCGUGAGAUGUUGGGUUAAGUCCCGCAACGAGCGCAACCCUCACUUUUAGUUGCCAUCAUUAAGUUGGGCACUCUGAAAGAACUGCCAGUGAUAAGCUGGAGGAAGGUGGGGAUGACGUCAAGUCCUCAUGGCCCUUACGUGUUGGGCUACACACGUGCUACAAUGGUAUCUACAACAGGAAGCAAGACUGCGAAGUUAAGCAAAUCCCUAAAAGAUACCUCAGUUCGGAUUGCGCUCUGCAACUCGAGUGCAUGAAGCUGGAAUUACUAGUAAUCGUGGAUCAGCGUGCCACGGUGAAUGCGUUCCCGGGUCUUGUACACACCGCCCGUCACACCAUGGGAGUUGGUUCUACCUUAAGGCAAGGUUUCAAACCCUUGACCACGGUAUAGUCAGCGACUGGGGUGAAGUCGUAACAAGGUAACCGUA